rnacentral:rRNA from 1 species
AACGGAAGCAAAGAUUUCGGUUUUUGCUUUAGUGGCGAACGGGUGAGUAACGCGUGAGGAACCUGCCUUUCAGUGGGGGACAACAGUUGGAAACGACUGCUAAUACCGCAUAAUGCUUUUGAGUGGCAUCACUUAAAAGUCAAAGAUUUAUUGCUGAAAGAUGGCCUCGCGUCUGAUUAGCUAGUUGGCGGGGUAACGGCCCACCAAGGCGACGAUCAGUAGCCGGUCUGAGAGGAUGAACGGCCACAUUGGGACUGAGAUACGGCCCAGACUCCUACGGGAGGCAGCAGUGGGGAAUAUUGGGCAAUGGGGGAAACCCUGACCCAGCAACGCCGCGUGAAGGAAGAAGGCCUUAGGGUUGUAAACUUCUUUUACCAGGGGCGAAAGAAAUGACGGUACCUGGAGAAAAAGCAACGGCUAACUACGUGCCAGCAGCCGCGGUAAUACGUAGGUUGCGAGCGUUGUCCGGAUUUACUGGGUGUAAAGGGCGUGUAGGCGGAGAUGCAAGUUGGGAGUGAAAUCCAUGGGCUCAACCCAUGAACUGCUUCCAAAACUGUAUCCCUUGAGUAUCGGAGAGGCAAGCGGAAUUCCUAGUGUAGCGGUGAAAUGCGUAGAUAUUAGGAGGAACACCAGUGGCGAAGGCGGCUUGCUGGACGACAACUGACGCUGAGGCGCGAAAGCGUGGGGAGCAAACAGGAUUAGAUACCCUGGUAGUCCACGCUGUAAACGAUGAAUACUAGGUGUGGGAGGACUGACCCC